rnacentral:rRNA from 1 species
GAUGAACGCUGGCGGCGUGCCUAAUACAUGCAAGUCGAGCGAACAGACGAGGAGCUUGCUCCUCUGACGUUAGCGGCGGACGGGUGAGUAACACGUGGAUAACCUACCUAUAAGACUGGGAUAACUUCGGGAAACCGUAGCUAAUACCGGAUAAUAUAUUGAACCUCAUGGUUCAAUAGUGAAAGACGGUUUUGCUGUCACUUAUAGAUGGAUCCGCGCCGCAUUAGCUAGUUGGUAAGGUAACGGCUUACCAAGGCAACGAUGCGUAGCCGACCUGAGAGGGUGAUCGGCCACACUGGAACUGAGACACGGUCCAGACACCUACGGGGGGCAGCAGUAGGGAAUCUUCCGCAAUGGGCGAAAGCCUGACGGAGCAACGCCGCGUGAGUGAUGAAGGUCUUCGGAUCGUAAAACUCUGUUAUUAGGGAAGAACAAAUGUGUAAGUAACUAUGCACGUCUUGACGGUACCUAAUCAGAAAGCCACGGCUAACUACGUG